rnacentral:rRNA from 1 species
CCUGGUGGUGGAUCCCUCUUUUAUGUUUAACCCUUUUUUUUUUGGUUAAAACUUUAUGACUCCAUAACUUUUAGACCGUGAGGCCAAACUUGGCAUGUGAUACCUUUUCGGAAAGCCCAAAGACAGCCCUCCGACGAAAGAAGCAGGACAAUGGAAAUUUUCCAUUGACUUUUUGUCGACCCCAAAUUUUGACCUUUAAGUACUUUUUCGGGCAUUCUCGUGAUUUGGGCUAUAUUACGGACCCAAAAUUACUUGUUCAAGCAUUGUUUUCGAAUUUUUUCAUGCAUCAAAGCUCGUUAAGACUAGAUGGGGUAUCCCUACAUAGCGGGUGGGACCCACGGCGAAUGGUUCAUCAAGUCUUCAAAAAACAAUAUAUACGAUUGCAUUCCAUAUACUAACGGAUGCGAUCAUACCAGCACUAAUGCACCAGAUCCCAUCAGAACUCCGCAGCUAAGCGUGCUNGGGCGAGAGUAGUACUAGGAUGGGUGACCUCCCAGGGAGA